AAAUUAAAUUUAAUAAAUUUUAAUCACAAGAGCGCUAAAAUAAUAAAAUAAUUUUUUUUAAACUGUUUUUCUAAUAGCAUAUAAAAUGAUACUUUUAUAUUAGAAAAGCAGUUUUGACCACGUAAAUUCAAUGCCAAACAGACAUUGAAAAUGACUUGCAAAAGGUGCAGAAAUUGAAAAAUAGGUGGCAAGAAAGGGAAAUGAGACCUUGUAGAGACUUGAAUGAUUAAGAUUUAAGGGACAUUUUAUGCACAUAUGCUGCUUGUGCACCAAAUGAUAAAAAUCCAAAUUGAGGGGAACCCUAACAAGCAUUUUGGCACAUUAUGAUUGUGUGGCCACCAAAGCUAUUUAAAUUUCUAUCUCUGUAUUCAUGCUAUUGAAAUUUCGAUCUCUGUAGUCAUGACUUAUCCACAGAAUUAUUCAUUGCCAUCUUGUUGCCAUGAAGGGUAGCCGUUAAAACUUAUAUUAUAUCUCACAGUGAAUUUAUUUAGCUUGGAGAGAUUUUCAAAUCAAGUGUUUUAAGAUUUUGAAUGCCAGGCUUAAAAAUGAUAAAUUUAUCUGUUUGG
rnacentral:misc_RNA from 1 species